GGGAGCAUGCGGUUCUUAUAUAAUUCACUUUUAUUGCCUCACAAGAACUAUUGUUGGUCAUGUUUAUGAUGCUUUAGCGCUAGAAAAUACAGUUGUCUUGAUAUUACAAUGUUUAACCUGCUAGUGUAUUUUACGAUUCACAUUAUAGACAUAAUACUACUCUAUAGAGAUUCCCUAAAAAUUAUGUUGGUUUAGACACACUAGUCAUCAACCCGUGCGGGCUAGCUUAAACUCCAAUAGCUCAUGAUGUAUUGUGCUACUGUUUUUCAGGGUUAGCCUUAUGGUAAAGUAAAAUUUUGAAGAGACAAAAUGGACAAGGAAGACAAGCAUCGCCUCUGCUCCAGUCUAGUACAGGCCACGAACAGGCUGCCAUGGGCCACAAUCAACAACGCAAGCGAAACAAAAAAUAGGCCAUGUACAAAGCUGUUGACGUGAUGCUAGAAAGAUCCAUUGGAUGAGGACGUGAAUGAGACUAAAUUAAAUCUCAGCUAGCUUAGUUUUAGCAAACCUGUAGAUACAUUUAUAUUCAAAGCCAGGAAAAUGUAAUCUUCAUGUCAUACCGAUAAAAAUGUAAUUUCUGAUCUAUUUCUAUGCAAAGCAUAAUCAAGAGAGUAUGGUCAAGAAGCCACAAAUGUGGGCAUGAAGGUCUGCUUUCAAGAAUUUCCACCUAAUAUUCAAAUUCAGGUAAGACCCACAUGUUUCUUUUGUACUAUAUAUUAUACGUCACCACAAGUCUCCAUAUGUAUCAAUAAGUUGUACUGAACCCUGGUAGUAGGAUGGGUGUUGGUUGGAAAGCAGAAUAUCUUUUUUUCUCAGUACAGUACAGUUUUCAGUUUCCACAACUUAUAACAAUGAGCCUUGCCAGUUUUGUGUUAACUUAUGUUGAAUAUGUGAACCCGAAUGUUAAUUUAUGAUUUGUUUUUAAUAUAUACUCAAUUACUCUUACAAAUAAAUGAAGAUGAUCUUGAACUUUCGAAGACAACUAAUAGUAAUUUAUUUUUAUUCUCUUUGCUUAACUCAUGGGCUGCAAGACUAUGCUCUCAAGGUCAACAAUCACAGGCUCAGCCAUGCCUUCAUGAUCACUCUCACCAAGUGCACACAUGAGGUCCGGUUUUGGGUUUAUUUGAAAUAUGACAUGUGAUUGACCACCUCUCUCUCUCUCUCUCUUCCUCCCUGCCUCCUCCUCCUCUCUNNNNNNNNNNNNNNNNNNNNNNNNNNNNNNNNNNNNNNNNNNNNNNNNNNNNNNNNNNNNNNNNNNNNNNNNNNNNNNNNNNNNNNNNNNNNNNNNNNNNCGUUAACGUAACCUAACGUUACGGUUACGUAGUUACACCUACCUCCUCUCUCUCUCUCUCUCCUCCCUCGCCUCCCUCCCUCCCUCCUCUCUCCUCCUCUCUCUCUCUCUCUAAUUCAACUAAAGAUCACCAGUCUUGGCAUCUAGAAUUCAGGAUACAGAACUCAUAAUUUUGUAAGGCCCACCAUUAACCAAGUUGCUUCAUCUUGAAUGCCCACAUCCGUCAUGUACUUGCACUCUGAAAACCGUAGCUGCGGCAUAAUCCACAGUAAUCGACUCCAUUUUGAGCAUACAACAUGUUUGUAGUUUGAUGUCUUUAGUAGUUUACAUACGAAAGAAUUCUUUGUUUGCAAAUGGAACUAUGAAUAAUUUAUUGCAGCAUCGCUAGUUAUUAAUCUAGCUUGUAUAUUCAUUAAGGUGCAACUUCCUAAUCCUAUUUGAUCUGGGGGACUAACUCACAUGCUCAUACUUAGCCCACAGAUUACCCCUGAUCAAAUGGAAGAUGUGGAUCGCCGACCAACUAUUAGGAUUUUUUUUAUAAGGCAAUUGUGUGAUAUCUGACAUCUACUUUUUGAACUCAAAUGUGUCAACUAUUUUAUCUGGAUUUCCGCACAAUGUAUUUUAGCUUUUAUUCGAUUAACAUUUUCAUAUAUAUUGUAUGCUGCACUCUAUAUGUAUUUUAUUUGAUUUUUGUCUUCUCUUAUGAAGAAAAUGGUUCUUGCUUCCCAGCUAACUAUGAGUAUAAAUGCCUGUGAACUAUGAGGCAUUAUUUUCUUCUUACAAGAAGAAACUAUUUCCAUUUUUCAGGUUAUGCCUUGCCUGCAAUGAGUGCAUUAUGUUGAAUUGGUGCUUAAUUGGCAUAGUAAGAAUUGAAAGUGUUAUGAAGUGCAACAAAUUCUUUUUGCUGCUGGUCUUAUUUCUAGAAUUCUACUACAGCUUUAUCUAAGUAGGUGGGGAUAACCAAACCUUAAAUUUCUUGUUUACUUCUGGUAGGUGAUGGGACAACUACGAGGGGCAAUCGCCCACCUGAACGAUUAUAUUGAUCAAAAUUUUGGACAUUACAUGCUCGGUCAUAGUAGGCCAUAUAGAGGUACAGAAAACAUAGGGACACACAACGACACACACCAAUGUACAAGGGGAAUACAAGCUAGGCAAGGCGAGGCUCACGCAACCCAUAGUGUGAAAUAGCUAACUUGUGAUUCGAUGGAUGCUGGUGGAUAUCUUUUAGGCAUGAGGUAAAAAUGGUCAAUAUCAGUCACGGUCUGGCUAGCGGCUGCAACCUCCAGAAGACAUGCUUGCAGGUAUGGCGUUAGGUGGAUGAGCGCAAAUUGAGAAUAACAACAGUGAAAUAAUAGUUGAAUGCAUGAUGCAUCAGAACAACGAAUGUAGGUUUCACCACAACUUUUAUCUCGGGAUGUAAACAAUAUUGUUAGAUGAUUUUGUAGCUGGUACUAUCACCGCAUAGAAAAAUAGGCCUCUUUUCUGCUCCCCACCUCCCAUUAUAUUGAGAUACAGAGCUAGCUCAAAAUUAGGUUUAUUUAUCUUUCGUUUUUUCCUUUGAAGAUACUGAGGAAAAAAAACAAGCAUUUAUUUGCUAUUCCGUGGCAAUGCACGGGCAUUCAGCUAGUUAAUAAAAAUGACAAAUCUUUUGCCGUGUUUCUUUAAAAGGAGUCCCAGACCAAACCGUCAUUUAUCUUUCAAAGUACCAUCACUACGUCGGCCGGUUACUCCUCUGCAUCAAUCAACUUGGAAACUGAUUUGCUUGGAAGGCCAAAAAGAAGACAAAAAAAUGCGUCUGCCGGGAGUCGAACCCGGGUCUAUUGCUUGGAAGGCAAUUAUCCUAACCGUUGGACUACAGACGCUUUGACUUGCUAAUUUUCGUAACGCGUGUUAUUUCUAAAAGAAUUUGUAAAAUCAGAAAGCAAGUGAUGGACAUUAUUCAGUGCCCUUUCAUAUUACGCGUUGCUGCAGAAAAUUUGUUAACAAAGGACAAGUGUUAAACAUACUAGACAAUGCCCCGCGCGUUGCCGCAGAAAACUUGUUAAUUUUUUUAUGAAUGAAUGUUAGAAAACUAAUGUUAAUGCAAAAACCGUUAUAAAAAUAUCUUCCUUAAUUAUCUAGAAAAAAAUUCAUGCAUGAGGGUAUGUUUUGCAUGAAAAGAUUAAUGAAAAAAGUAACUUAUGAGUACAUACAUGAGUUGAUGAUAUGACAUUGUUGCAUGGAGAGGAAAAUUAGGUAGUGGUUCUAGCUAUUUAAGAAUAAAAGAUGGCACCGUCUCUUCCAUCACCUCAGUCUUCUAGCCAACUCAAAAAGAAAUACUUAGGACCAGUUUUUUUGGUGGCUUUUUUUAGCUUUUGAAAUAAGUUGUCCCUUACCCAGCUUAUUCUAGAAGCCCAACCAAAAAUAUUUUGCUUAGAAGCCUACUAGUCAAGUCUUAAAUAGUGUCAUUUGCUUGGAAGGCAAAGAAGACAAAAAAAUGCGUCUGCCGAGAGUCAAACCCGGGUCUAUUGCUUGGAAGGCAAUUAUCCUAACCGUUGGACUACAGACGCUUUGACUUGCUAAUUUCAAUAAUGCAUCUGAUGGACAUUACGUCGUGCACUUUCAUAUUACGCGUUGCUCCAGAAAAUUUGUUAAAAAAAUUAUGGAUGAAUGUACCGCCUCUCCCAUCAACUUAGUCUUCUAGGCAACUCAAAAAGAAAUACUUAUUCUUCUAUGCAACUUAAAAAAGAAAUACUUAGUCUUCUACGCAGCUCAAAAGAGAAAUCCUUAGUCUUCUAGUGGUGGACUUCAUUAAAGUACUAUCAUGAGCAUGUUAGAGCUACUACCUCCAUCCGAGUGUGUAAGUCAUUCACGUAAUUCUAGAUCGAUAAUUUAACUAUCUAAAUAUAUAUUAUAUAUGAUAAAAAUAUAUUUAGAAACUACAUCUGCAUAGAAAUCUAAUGAUAUAUUUUUCAUGACAUAUAAUACAUAUUUAAUUCUUUAAAUUGAUGACCUAAAACUACAUGUAUGACUUAUACACCGGAACGGAGGAAGUAGUCUCUUUUGCAAGUAGUCAGAACGCAAAACCAUUGGCCACAUCAAAGUGCUAACUGGCCAAAAAGAAAUAAAGGCUCCGGACAUUACGUUUUCUCCAUAUCCCGUCGCCGCCAAUCUACCUUGUCUCAUGUGGUCUUAGGGCCAUGGAGCCGUGGUGGAUCCCGAGACUUGCCGGUGAGAGGACCCAUGCUUCAUUUUUAGGUGUUUUUAAGUAUUUUUAGGGUUUGUGUCUUGAUUAGAUAGGCGAGGUGGCGGCUACUCCUUGAAGAUGAAAUAAGAUUCUUGUUUUCCUACUUGACUUUGUACCAGAUAAAAUACUUCACAGUAAUAGGUUUACAUGCAGCAGAGGAUGACGCCACGGGGGUAUUCCGUCCAUUUAGAAACAAAAUUGUACCGUACUAUAGCAUUCCGCAUCGUGAGUGUAAAUGUCUCACAUGGAGUGGUGUGAUCUUUCCCAGCAAGAAAUUCUUGAGAUGCAUGGAUAACUCUAUUCAGAAUGCAAUAUUGCAACCCUCUUAGACAUAUUUUUUGAAAGCAUGGUGAGGAAUCUCACACUGCAACUCACCCGAAAUCAUAUACUAGAAAAUCAUGGCAUCUACAUUGCUGGAGAAAAGUUGAAGCACAACCCAGCAUUCUGCAUUGGCCUCUACAAUAGUUUAACCACAUUAUGAGCAGGGUGUAGUGUGGUGGCAAAUAUUUUGAACAAAGAUGGGCAAUGUCCUAGCCAAGUCCAAACACGUAGUUCGACCCAAAACAAUGAUCUCACACACACCAUGCCCCCGAACUAGGGGCUACAUUCAGCCUAGCAUGGAACAAAAACGUCUAAGGAGAAGCAUGAUCAGACCAGAAAGUACACAACAAGUUUCCCGUGUCGCUCAAUCCCACAGGAUGCUAUUAGGCUCCCAUCCAAACACCAGGAAACUGCUUUGUCUCUAUUUUCUCCUCUCUUCAACUUUGCAACAUCUCUAGGGGCUAUUGUCAUGUUUAUUCUAUGCUAAUGCGUCUACCUUUGAUAACAUGGUUUGUCUAGAUGCACAUCUAGGCUCUUUAUAAUUUAUUUUAUCAUUUUGGCACUACUAUAAUAAUGGUCUAAUAAAGAAUAUGUACACAUGAUUUAUUGCCUCUAUGAGGGAGCAUGCGGUUCUUAUAUAAUUCACUUUUAUUGGCUGACAAGAACUUUUAUUGGGCUAGAACCGGGACUAAAGGCCCUUUUUGACAGGCCGAGAGGCGGGAAGCGAGGGUCUUUAGUCCCGUGUUGGGGCUAGAACCGGGACUAAAUACCCUUAGUCCCGGUUCUAGCCCAAACCCGGGACUAAAGGCCUCAGGCUGGCACCGGCGCAGGACAUGGCAAUGUUUAGUCCCUCCUCGCCAUGCGAGCGGUGCUCGCAGUGCUUUAUAAGCACCGCUGCGCCAACUCUUUCGAGCUCCUCUCUAAAGCAGACUUAUGGGCCUAAACGCACUCUCUCCCCAAAAUUUAAAAUAGAUGUGAAUUUAAAGACAAAUUCAACCUAAAUUCAAAGUGCUAACUCACUUUGNNNNNNNNNNNNNNNNNNNNNNNNNNNNNNNNNNNNNNNNNNNNNNNNNNNNNNNNNNNNNNNNNNNNNNNNNNNNNNNNNNNNNNNNNNNNNNNNNNNNAGGGAGCAUGCGGUUCUUAUAUAAUUCACUUUUAUUGCCUCACAAGAACUAUUGUUGGUCAUGUUUAUGAUGCUUUAGCGCUAGGAAAUACAGUUGUCUUGAUAUUACAAUGUAUAACCUGCUACUGUAUUUUACGAUUCACAUUAUAGACAUAAUACUACUCUAUACAGAUUCCCUAAAAAUUAUGUUGGUUUAGACACACUAGUCAUCAACCCGUGCGGGCUCGCUUAAACUCCAAUAGCUCAUGAUGUAUUGUGCUACUGUUUUUCAGGGUAAGCCUUAUGGUAAAGUAAAAUUCUGAAGAGACAAAAUGGACAAGGAAGACAAGCAUCGCCUCUGCUCCAGUCCAGUACAGGCCACGAACGGGCUACCAGGGCCACAAUCAACAACGCAAGCGAAACAAAAAAUAGGCCGUGUACAAAGCUGUUGACUGAAAAAACAAAUCGUGAUACUAGAAAGAUCCAACAGAUGAGGAUGUGAUUGAUACCAAAUUAAAUCUCAGCUAACUGAGUUUUAGCAAAACUGUAGAUACAUUUAUAUUCAAAGCCAGGAAAAUGUAAUCUUCAUGUCAUACCGAUAAAAUGUAAUUUAUGAUCUAUUUAUAUGCAGAGCAUAAUCAAGAGAGUAUGGUCAAGAAGCCACAAAUGUGGGCAUGAAGGUCUGCUUUCAAGAAUUUCCACCUAACAUUCAGAUUCAGGUAAGACCCACAUGUUUCUUUGGUACUAUAUAUUAUACGUCACCACAAGUCUCCAUAUGUAUCAAUAAGUUGAACUGAAACCCUGGUAGUAGGAUGGGUGUUGGGUGGAAAGCAUAAUAUCUU
rnacentral:lncRNA from 1 species